ACGAACGCUGGCGGCGUGCCUAAUACAUGCAAGUCGAACGCUUCUUUUUCCAUCGGAGCUUGCUCCACCGGAAAAAGAGGAGUGGCGAACGGGUGAGUAACACGUGGGUAACCUGCCCAUCAGAAGGGGAUAACACUUGGAAACAGGUGCUAAUACCGUAUAACAAUCGAAACCGCAUGGUUUUGAUUUGAAAGGCGCUUUCGGGUGUCGCUGAUGGAUGGACCCGCGGUGCAUUAGCUAGUUGGUGAGGUAACGGCUCACCAAGGCGACGAUGCAUAGCCGACCUGAGAGGGUGAUCGGCCACAUUGGGACUGAGACACGGCCCAAACUCCUACGGGAGGCAGCAGUAGGGAAUCUUCGGCAAUGGACGAAAGUCUGACCGAGCAACGCCGCGUGAGUGAAGAAGGUUUUCGGAUCGUAAAACUCUGUUGUUAGAGAAGAACAAGGAUGAGAGUAACUGUUCAUCCCUUGACGGUAUCUAACCAGAAAGCCACGGCUAACUACGUGCCAGCAGCCGCGGUAAUACGUAGGUGGCAAGCGUUGUCCGGAUUUAUUGGGCGUAAAGCGAGCGCAGGCGGUUUCUUAAGUCUGAUGUGAAAGCCCCCGGCUCAGCCGGGGAGGGUCAUUGGAAACUGGGAGACUUGAGUGCAGAAGAGGAGAGUGGAAUUCCAUGUGUAGCGGUGAAAUGCGUAGAUAUAUGGAGGAACACCAGUGGCGAAGGCGGCUCUCUGGUCUGUAACUGACGCUGAGGCUCGAAAGCGUGGGGAGCAAACAGGAUUAGAUACCCUGGUAGUCCACGCCGUAAACGAUGAGUGCUAAGUGUUGGAGGGUUUCCGCCCUUCAGUGCUGCAGCUAACGCAUUAAGCACUCCGCCUGGGGAGUACGACCGCAAGGUUGAAACUCAAAGGAAUUGACGGGGGCCCGCACAAGCGGUGGAGCAUGUGGUUUAAUUCGAAGCAACGCGAAGAACCUUACCAGGUCUUGACAUCCUUUGACCACUCUAGAGAUAGAGCUUCCCCUUCGGGGGCAAAGUGACAGGUGGUGCAUGGUUGUCGUCAGCUCGUGUCGUGAGAUGUUGGGUUAAGUCCCGCAACGAGCGCAACCCUUAUUGUUAGUUGCCAUCAUUUAGUUGGGCACUCUAGCAAGACUGCCGGUGACAAACCGGAGGAAGGUGGGGAUGACGUCAAAUCAUCAUGCCCCUUAUGACCUGGGCUACACACGUGCUACAAUGGGAAGUACAACGAGUCGCAAAGUCGCGAGGCUAAGCUAAUCUCUUAAAGCUUCUCUCAGUUCGGAUUGUAGGCUGCAACUCGCCUACAUGAAGCCGGAAUCGCUAGUAAUCGCGGAUCAGCACGCCGCGGUGAAUACGUUCCCGGGCCUUGUACACACCGCCCGUCACACCACGAGAGUUUGUAACACCCGAAGUCGGUGAGGUAACCUUUUGGAGCCAGCCGCCUAAGGUGGGAUAGAUGAUUGGGGUG
rnacentral:rRNA from 1 species